UGAACUGUCCUCUGAGUCGUUAUGCAAUCCCACUAAAAUGGAUAGGAGAGCAACGAUCUGCUUCUGGGCUAUUUUCCAGCUCAUCUCAGGGGAAAGCAGUUCAAAGCCACACUGCAUCAGGUCUGGAGAAAAUGUGUACCUCCAUCUGCAACAUCGGAAAACAAAUCUUAGCACUUUAUCAUGGGCAUAUAGCAAUGAAAAUAAAAGUAAUAGUGUUGUAGCCAACUUUAAUCACAAUUUUAAAUCAUCGGCUGAGCUUUUUCAGAACGGGACCCUUAAAAUCACCAACAUCCAGACAAACUGGAGUGUAAACAUCACUGCUACUGGUUACAAUGACAGAGGAGUAAAUAUUGUGAAAGAGAUACAUCACUUGCUUGUGCUUGAUACUCCUGUGGUUGAAUUGGUUCUGUGUAUCAAUGAAGCAUCUGCAUUUUACUGUGCAAAUAAGAAUGGCCAGGAUGUCACACACAGAUGGACUGUCAAUAACAGUGCCCUGGGAGAAGAGACUGUAUUCAGUAACAGUAAUAAACAUCUCUUUUUAAAGAACACAUCUGGAAGUGUCAGAUGCUCUGUGGAGAAGAAGGGCUGUGUGGUUCAGAGUGAACCUCAAUAUAUUUCUUGUAGAAAACAUUCAGAAAAGGAAGUACAGCCCUGGUGUGUUAGUGCUCUGAUCUCCAUAUCUUCAGUGCUGCUCUGUCUGAUCAUGGCUGGACUUCUGACCUGCUUACUGAGAACCUACAGGCAACAUCUACAGAACAUGAAUUCUGAAGAACACCGUCCCCCAGCAGGAGCCAUCAGUGACAACUUAAUUUAUUGUAAUUCAGAAAUGCUUGUAUAGUAAAACCUGUGAUGUUUUCACUGACCCACACU
rnacentral:lncRNA from 1 species